rnacentral:rRNA from 1 species
GUUGAACGCUGGCGGCGUGCCUAAUACAUGCAAGUCGAACGAACAGACGAGGACCUUGCCCCUCUGACGUUAGCGGCGGACGGGUGAGUUACACGUGGAUAACUUACCUAUAAGACUGGGGUAACUUCGGGAAACCGGAACUACUACCUGCUAACAUAUUAAAACGCAUGGUUCAAUUGUGAAAGACGGCUUUGCUGUCUCUUAUAGAUGGAUCCGCGCCGUAUUAGCUAGUUGGUAAGGUAACGGCCUACCAAGGCAACGAUCCGUAGCCGGCCUGAGAGGGUGACCAGCCACACUGGAACUGAGACACGGACCAGACUCCUACGGGAGGCAGCAGUAGGGAAUCUUCCACAAUGGGCGAAAGCCUGAUGGAGCAACGCCGCGUGAGUGAAGAAGGCCUUCGGGUCGUAAAACUCUGUUGUUAGGGAAGAACAACUGGGUAAGUAACUGUGCGGGGGAUGACGGUACCUGAACAGAAAGCCCCGGCUAACUACGUG